rnacentral:rRNA from 1 species
AUUGAACGCUGGCGGCAUGCCUUACACAUGCAAGUCGAACGGUAACAGGUUAAGCUGACGAGUGGCGAACGGGUGAGUAAUGUAUCGGAACGUGCCCAGUCGUGGGGGAUAACCGCUCGAAAGAGCAGCUAAUACCGCAUACGACCUGAGGGUGAAAGCGGGGGAUCGCAAGACCUCGCGCGAUUGGAGCGGCCGAUAUCAGAUUAGGUAGUUGGUGAGGUAAAGGCUCACCAAGCCGACGAUCUGUAGCUGGUCUGAGAGGACGACCAGCCACACUGGGACUGAGACACGGCCCAGACUCCUACGGGAGGCAGCAGUGGGGAAUUUUGGACAAUGGGCGCAAGCCUGAUCCAGCCAUGCCGCGUGCGGGAAGAAGGCCUUCGGGUUGUAAACCGCUUUUGUCAGGGAAGAAAAGGUUCUGGCUAAUACCUGGGACUCAUGACGGUACCUGAAGAAUAAGCACCGGCUAACUACGUG